UCAUAUCAGAGAUUGCCACAGACACCCAGGGCAAUGUGAUUUGUCACUUAAAGAGGACGGCAGAUCAAGAGCAUCUCAUCCUCCGGCUGCUGAGUCAUCCUGCUCUGGCAGUUAUUUAAACAGAAGGCUCCAGGAGACAUACAAUCAACACUCCACUCAGACAAUGCCCAGACCUCCAGAAACCAUGUGUCAAGCUCGGAUUGCCUUAGACAGGUGCAAUUUAAGAACAGCUUUCAUCCUCUUUUCUCUCAUAUUGUCACACUAUGUGUUCUGACUUCUGGCUCCUUUCCUCACAAGAAGCUCACCCAGCUGGAACUCUUAUGGGACCUUGGCACCAGAGACCACAAAUUCCUCUUUGAAGUUUUCUAACAGCAACAAUGGUAUUUCUGACUUGGCUUUCUUGUAUUUCUCUCACGUUAACAAAAUUGGUUCAGCAUCUACCAUGGGCUACAUGCUGAGCUACAGAGUUUCGCUCUGUCGCCCAGGCUGGAGUGCAGUGGCGCGCGAUCUCGGUUCACUGCAAGCUCCACCUCCCGGGUUCACGCCAUUCUCCUGCCUCAGCCUCCUGAGUAGCUGGGACUACAGGCGCCCGCCACCACACCCAGGAAUCCAACUUGCUGUUUGCUAUCACAUGUGCUAUACAUGCUGUUGAUGAAACUGCUAAAGGGGCUGAAUGUGACUGACGUCUUUGGAAGGAUGAGACUUAGCGUGCCUGUACAGUUGUGUCCAAAUGCUGUCCUCAUCUCCCAAUGAAAAGCUGAACUAGGGCCAUGCCUGGGACAGACAGAGAAUGGCCUUCCAGCAGACAUGCCAAGAAGCAAGCCAGGGUCAGUGAGUGAAGAGGAGGGCAGGCCCAUUUGAAGCAACACAGUUUAUGUAAGUGUGAUCUAACUGCUUUCACUGGAAAUGGGUCAGACUCCAGUUGAGAGAACCAGGGGCCUGAAUGACCCCAGCAAAAUCACUGUGGCAAUUCUUUCAAUCACCUCUGAGAAUAUGGCCCUGUGACGACAUAAUGACGUUUGGAUUAAUUCCAGUCGGCUGUGUUUUCCCCUCCUUUCUUGCCUCCCCGUAGUUGAUUUGCCAAAUUUUUUUUGUUUGCUUAAAUACGCGGAACUAAACAGGAUACAUUAUAUGACAGUCUGUGAUAAAUUUACCACUGGGAAUAGGGAAAAAGUAUGGGAUAAAGAAAUAGGUAUUUUUCGCCUCUCACAGCUGUGAUUCAGUUCUGACUCAAAAGGAAGUGUGCCACCUACUGAAUCACAGAAACCACUUCCUGUGGCUGUUUGGUUUAUUCUGGAGGAGCAUCAGGCCAAGUGCUGCCCUGCCCUGACCCUGACUGGCUCUUCAGAGCCAAGGCAUUCACAGCUUGAGGUGGUUUGGCCUCAGACUCUUGAGAACAUUGCAUAUUAAAUUACAAGUGUUUCGUUUCCUAGCAAGGAGUCUUUAGCAACAUGAAAACGAACGUGUGUUAUUUGCAAACCAAGUAUAUCAUUACUGAACCUGAAUAUCCUUACUUUUUCAUAAGGUACGUAUUCCGGAUGACCACUCUUAAGAUCUGAAUGUACACUGGUUCUGUUUUUCCUGAGGGGAACUUGGGCAGUCUGCAGGGUGGCAUUUACCAGCUGAGGGACUUCAAGAGCACCCUUUAAUCAGUGUGGCAGCACUCAACUUGUAUUCACUCACUCAGAGUAUUUUUGAGCAUGUACUUAUUGCCAUGUGCUGUGCUAGGUAGGGGUAGAGGGUACAGUGGUGAACAAGACCCCACAGCUCCUGACCUCAUGGCUCAUGUGUUCUACACCAUAAGGGAAUCAAGCUGUGUCUCCCGGGGCAGGGGCCUUCCUCUGUUCACCAUGCAGCCCCAGCAUCUAGCACCUGGCGUUGCAUAAAGGAGGCUCUAAAUCAAGCUUGUCCAACCCAAGGCCCACGGGCCACAUGUGGCCCAGGAUGGCUUUGAAUGCAGCCAAACACAAAUUUGUAAACUUUCUUAAAACAUUAUAAGAUUUGUGUGUAUGUGUUUUAGUCCAUCAGCUAUUGUUAGUGUUCAUGUAUUUUAUGUGUGGCCCAAGACAAUUCUUCUAUGUGGCCCAAGGAAACCAAAGAUUGAACACUCCUGCUCUAAAUACUUGUUUGUUGAAUAGAUACAUGAAAAGAAAGAAGGAGAGAAGGAAGAAAGGAGGGCGGAAGGAAAGGAAGAAGGGAGAGAAGAAGAGAAGAAAGAAGCAGAGAAAGGAAGAGAAAAGAAAUUACGGCCAGUGCGGUGGCUCACGCCUGUAAUCCUAGCACUUUGGGAGGCCUAAGCGGGCUGAUCACCUGAGGUCAGGAGUUCGUAAGCCAGCCUGGCCAACAUGGUGAAACCCUAUCUCUACUAAAAAUACAAAAAUCAGCAGGGCAUGGUGGUGCGUGCCUGUAAUCCCAGCUACCUGGGAGGCUGAGGUAGGAGAAUCGCUGGAACCCGAGAGGCGGAGGCUGCAGUGAGUUGAGAUCAUGUCACUGCACUCCAGGCUGGGCAACAGAGUGAGACUCUGUCUCAGAAAAAAAAAAAAAGAAAGAAAGAAAGAAAGAAAGUUACCAUUAGUUUUUUGUUGUAUUUGCAAGCAAAGACAAAAGCACCAAGGUACUUGUUUCCUUCUGUAAUUAGAGUUUCAAAUAGACUAAAAGUUUCUGCUCUUAGGUGGGUCUAGAGACUCUCCAGUACCUCAGGACCUCAGGACACAUGGGGUCUCUUGGUUGUUUUCUUUUCAUUGUUGUUGUUUAUUUUAUUUUUGUUUUUAUUUUUUAACUUUAAAACAAUUUUUUGUAGAUGAAUAUGCUUACAUAUGUUUGGGGGUUUUUUUGAGACAGGGUCUUGCUCUGUUGCCCAGGCUGGAGAGCGGUGGUUUAACCACAGCUCACUGCAGCCUCGACCUCCCAAGGUAGGGACUGCAGGUGUGUACACUGGGGUGCACCACCACACCCAGCUAAUUUUUAAAUUUUUUUUUGUAGAUAUUGUCUCACUCUGUUGGCCAGACUGGUCUUGAAAUCCUGGGCUCGAGCAAUUCUCCUGCCUCGGCCUCGUAACGCGUUAGGAUUACAAGCGUGAACACCGCACCUGGCCAGCAUGUGGUCUCUUAACCAGAGGAGGCCUCUUCUGAACUAGGUAGAGGUCCUGAGAAUUGAUUCUGAGAGUAAAAGGCUCUUUGUUCUCCUCAGAGUAGAUUAGAAUCCCUAAUGAUAGAGCAUCUAUUAUUCCUCUAGUGGUCCAUGCCCAACAGAUUCAUCCAAGAAUAGAUGAAGAUCUUUGUAAUGUUGUGCAAGUAAUCUAAUCACCCCACAGAAGAGCUGUGACUUAAAUUAUCCCAGAGUCGGCCCACCUGUUUUCAUAAAGAUCAAUGUAACUUGUAAAUUUCUUCAGUUCUCCUCACCUAUCAUCAUUUGACUAACAAAACCCAGAAAACUAGGCUAGUUAUGGUGGCCUAUGCAUAUAAUCCCAACUCUUUGAGAGGCCAGGGUGGGUGGAUUGCUUGAGUCCAGGAAUUCGAGACCAGCCUGGGCAACAAAGGGAGACCCUGCCUAUAUCCCAGCUAUGCAGGAGGCGAGGCCAGAGGAUUGCCUGAGCCUCAGAGGUUGAGGCUGUAGUGAGCCAUGAUUGCCCCACUACACUCCAGCCUGGAUGACAGAGUGAGACCCUGCCUUAAAAAUAAUAAUAAUAGUAAUAAUAUUUCAUAAAGAUACAGGAAACUAGAUUAUAAUUGACAUUUUCAAAGUGAAAUACUGUCUAGAAUGGUGCUUGGCCAACAGUAAGCUUUUUGUAAGUGGAAGUCAUUACUACUACUAUUUCUUUCAUUAUUAUUACCAUUACUACUUUUUUUUACAAAAAAAAAACCCUGGACAACACACUGAAACCAUUACUACUUCUACUACUAUAACUUAGGUUGCACCUGAUAGAGCCAGCAAUUUUUCCAAGGUAUGACAAUGGCCAUAUGUUUAAUGAUAUAAUUCUAUGGCUCAGUGUAUCUCAGCCUUUUUAAACCCUGCUCUUCUUUUGACAAUUGUAAAAAUCUUAAACUGACCUCCAGUUGAAAUCCUCUGUCAAGAAGAUAUUGUCGGCCAGGGGCGGUGGCUCACACCUGUAAUCCCAGCACUUUUGGAGGCCGAGGUGGGAGGAUCACUUGAGGUUAGGAGUUCAAGACCAGCCUGGCCAACAUAGUGAAACCCCAUCUCUACUAAAAAUACAAAAAUUAGGCAGGCAUGGUGGUGUGUGCCUGUAAUCCCAGCUACUCAGGAGGCUGAGGUAGGAGAAUUGCUUGAACCUGGCAGGGCAGAGGUUGCAGCAAGCCGAGAUCACGCCACUGCUCUCCAGCCUGGGUGAGACUGUCUCAAAAAAAAAAAAAAAAAAGAAAGAAAGUAAGAAAAAGAAGAAAUCCCAAUCUCUUCUUUUAUGUGGAUUCUUCCUCACUUGAAUAAUACUUUUCUUCCCCAGUAUUCUCCAUAUUAUCCCAGAGUCAGCCCCUCUGUUUUUGUAAAGAUCUACGUAACCUCCUCUAAGUUUCCCAGUUCUCCUCACCUAUCAUAUCAUUUGGCUCAACAAAGGGCAGGAAGCUAGAUUCUAAUUGAUAUUUUGAGGCCGGGAGCAGUGGCUCAUGCCUGUAAUCACAGCACUUUGGGAGGCUGAGGCGGGCAGAUCACUGGAGGUCAGGAGUUCGAGACCAGCCUGGCCAAUAUGGUGAAACCUCGUCUCUACUAAAAAUACAAAAAAUUAGCCAGGCUUGGUGGCUUGUACCUGUAAUCCCAGCUACUCAGGAGGCUGAGGCAGGAGAAUAGCUUAAACCUGGGAGGAAGAGGUUGCAGUGAGCCGAGAUUGCUCAAUUGCACCCCAGCCUGGGUGACAGAGCAAAACUCCAUCUCAAAAACAAACAAACGAACAAACCUGAUAUUUUCAAAAUUGAGGCAAUUAUAACAGCUAUUUAGCCAAGCAUUAUGAUAGCAAUAAUAGCAAGAAAAUAAAUUAGUUAACAAAUGAGUCUCAGAAGCCCAAUGAUUUUUAUUUUAUUUUUAUUUUUUGAACUUUUAUUUUAGAAUCAGGGGAUACAUGUGCAGGUUUGUUACCCGGGUAUAUUGCAUGAUGCUGAGUUUUGGAGUAUGCAUGAAUCCAACCUGUCAUCCAGGUAGUGAGUAUAGUACCCAACAGAUAGUUUUUUUAACAUUUACUUCACUCCCUUCCCCAAUCUUGUAUUCCCCUGUGUCUACUGUUCCCAUUUUUAUGACUGUGCCAACAAUAAUUUUUUUUCUUUUUUCUUUAAAUAGAGAUGGGGGUCUCUAUUUAAAGAGCCUCCCAAAGUGCUAGGAUUACAGGUGUGAUCCAUUGCACCUGGCCCAUGCCAACAAUAUUUGAAACCCUUAUCUGCGUGUACAAGUUUGCUACUGGUUUUGUUUUGCUCAUUAAUACAUCCCAAGCAUCUAUACCUGGCUUGUAGUACCAGCAUGUAGUAGGUGCUUAAUAAAUAUUUAUUGAAUAAAUAAAUUAGUUUGACAUUAGUUUAACAUCUCAAGUAAAACAAAAUACCAUUCAAUUAAUUCUCUUCUUCUACUUUUUUCUUUUAAGAGAGACAAAUAGUCACACAUACAUCAGCAGGAGAGGAUACAAUUUCCUGUGUUUAAGUUUUUAUGAGUUACUUUAGUUCAAAUGUCACAGAAAAUUAUAUUGAACUCUUGACCAAUCUAUCUAUUUUUUCCAUUGGAGUAUUGACCCAAAUAAGAAAUAGCAUAAAGGAAAAAUUAUUUUUUGGCAGAAAAAUAUUCUCUCUAAAUUCUUGUGUGUUUUGUUUUGAUUUUUUCCUUAGUGACUGGAGGCCAGUUUCAAUCCACUGAAGCACAGAUUCCAAAUUUUCAAUCUGGUUUUCUUGAGUAGUGACUGAGUGCCAAAAAUGAAGCAAUGACACAACAUCACCAUCAAGACACUCCCCAGCACGCACACACAUGCCAGAGUCCAACACCAAGAUACUCCCCAGCACGCACACACACGCCAGAGUCCAGGCCAUAUUCGGGUGGCUUGCAAGCUUCUUCCCCCCAAGUAUUUACUCUCAAAAUAAUGGUUUUUGUUUUGUUUUGGUUUGGUUUGGUUUGUUUUUUUCCAAAUACAUUUCUUCCCUAUAUCUUUAACCAAUUCUCAUAAAAUUUUGUCUAAUACACUGGUCAGUGUAUUCCAGACCCUAAAAGAUAACAUAAUGAAACUAUCUAUGACUAAAAGGUAAUCAGGAUCUUCUACUUAUCCUUUUUUCCUCCCUCUUAAACUUUAAUUUUGAUACAUUUGGGAGUGAAAUGAUGACAAUAAAUGCAAAGUAAUUAUUGAAGAAACAGUAAUUUUGUAUUAGCUUACUGAAAAAAAAAAAAAAGAUAACCAAAUAUAUUUUGGCAGCCCCAAACGAGUCACAUGUGAAAUGCAGUGGGAGAGCAGUGUCCUGAAGGAAAAGGUGGCCUGCUGGACAGCCAAGAGAACAAACAUCCACUGCAAGUAAUAUGAGCUCUAAGUUUGGACUAGGCCUAUGUCUGCUCUGAGACUUGGGGCAAUUCACUUAAUCAGAGCCUUAAUCAGCUACGGACUAGCAAUAUCCAUACCCGCUACUUAUUUUGUAAAUCUCCUUUCUAAAGUUAACUCUAUUUAUUGUUCCAUAAUCCCAUAAAUUCUAGAAUCUUUUCCUGUUAUAGCCAAGUUGUCUAUCAUUGACAGAGAUAUUCACCUGGUUGUUUUGGCUUCUCUAAUCCUCCUGGUGAGAACACCUCCAAGGGAGCUUUCAGUGGCAUUUAAGGUCACUUGUGCUCUUGGUCCUAGAAACUGCCUUGAUAGUGGUUUUAGCUCACAUGAGGUAAGUCUUUAUUAUAUGCCCAACCUCUUUAUGCAUUACUUCAUUUAAUUGUAUACUAAUCCUUUGUCAUAGGUUAUCAGAGUGUUUGAUUAUAAGUUACAGGAAGAAAAAAAAAAACAAACUCCAAUUGACUAAAACAAUGGGGCAUUUUUUGACUCACAUAACAGAGAGUCUAGAGAGAAGGCACCUUCAGGUUUGGCUGAUGAAUCCUGUAUCUCUGCCUUGUCUCCAGGCCCCCAGGUUCUGCCUCUGUCCUGACAUCCAGUGUUGGAUUCCUCUUCACAUCAACUCCUCUCUAGCUGUGGCAAUUCCUUGAACCACACUGAUUGCUAUAAAGUGGAAGAGGAAUAGAUUGAAUUUUGGGGAGUCAACUACAAUGUGUACUACAGGAACAAAACCCAUCAGAAGAUGUCAGAAGAUAAGGAUUUUUGUCCUGAUGCUACACUUACCAGCUGUCCCUCAGUGUUCUACUUCUUAAAAAAAGAGAGAUGGAUAAACAGAGGCAACCCGAGGAUAAAGGCCUUGCUCAGUGUCACACAUUUCAGUCACUAAAUAAGACACAAUGGAUGCCAGUAUUCUCAUCCCCUCACAAAUAAAGAGCCUUCAAGCUCUUGCAGUCAACAAGAACUUUUGGAAUGAUUUCACUGCCUGAAAAGGCAGAUACAUAGGUGACACCCACAAAUAGGAAGAAAAUCAACCUGAACCUGAGUGUGUGGGCUCACUGACUCUAAGCAGUAGAGACAGAAGAAAAAGUUUUAGCAAAGAAGGGUUCUGAAAGAAAAUAAAUAUAGCUCGUUAUCAAGUGCUGUUUUUACACAGUAAAACAUGGGCAAAAUUACUCUUCUUUAAGUAGUAAUUCUUAUCUCUUGAUUAAGUCACCUACUCAUUCAUUUAAUAAAUACAUACUGAUUGUUUUCUAUGUGUUGAGCACUCAUCUCUGUAUUGGAAAUAUAAUAAUGACCAAAGUUGACAAUAGUAAUAACAAUAAUAGCUAAUAUAGCAGGCACUAAUAAUUAUUUGUUGAGUAAUAUGUCAAAAUUCAGUGUGAACAGCAUUCUAUUUGGGGCUGCAUCCACUGACUAUAACACAGCUAAUCUAUCUGAAAUGUUCCAGCUUUGGGCCUCUCUAACAGAAGAAGCUGUUGUUGGGCCUGCCUCUAGUUGGCGAUGCAUCCACCAAUGAGAAUGAAUUUAUGAUCGACCACUCUUCCUGUAAAGGCCGCUGGAACUGACAGCAUUGUGAUUUUCUUUUACUGUUAGUUUUAAAUUACUAGAACCAACUCAAUUACUAGAACGAACUUUACUUCUUUGUUUCCUACUUAUCAAAACAGUAAAAACAACAAGUAAAAGAAAUGCCAUCUUAAUAUUGUUUUGAUGACAAAACAGUAUUCCUUUUAGUUGUGCUUCAAAUGGAAUAAGAUGCAAACAGGCUUGGUAUGGUGGCUCACCCCUGUAAUCCCAGCCCUUUGGGAGGCCAAGGUGGAAGGAUUGCUUGAGGCCAUGAGUUUGAGACCAGCCUGCGCAACAUAGCAAGACCGUGUCUCUACAAAAAAUAAAAAAUUAGCUGAGUGUAGUGGUGUGUGCUUGUGGUCCCAGCUACUUUUGAGGCUGAGGAGGGAGAAUCUCUUGAGCCCAGAAGGUCGAAGUUGCAGUGAGCCGUGAUCGUGCCAUUGCUCUCCAGCUUGGACAACAAAGCAAGACCCUAUGUCAAAAAAUAAAUAAAUAAAAGACAUAAACAUAUCUGAGAUUAACUUUCAGUGGUAAAUUUGUUCCAUAUAUGAUUUUUAAGGUUAAAUGCUUUGGAAGCUUUAAAAACCAUUUCAGCCCUUUUAAAUGCCAACUUACACUGAUGAUGCUCUCAGAUGUUAGGAAAUCUUUUGAGCAGAAAAUGGAAGUGGGGGUGUUGAGGCAGGGAGGAGAGUGAUGCAAUAUUCCUUAGUGUCAUCCUGUGAUUUCACAAUUUGUUUUUCAAUCUGUUUGGACUUUCAAAAGGGAAGACUCUCAUAUGUCAACAAGCCCAUGAACUGAAGCUUAAAACACUGGAAACAACAACUGUAGAGUUUCAAGUAUAUGUACAUUUAUGUAUUCAUGUUCCUUGAUGGGAAUGCUGGCUGGUGUGAAUGUUCAAUCUCCUGAGAAAUGUAAAUUUUUCUCUGACAGAUUUAUUAGCUUGCUGUAUCUGAGCACAUGAGCAAAAACAAUGCCUAAUAAGAAAACUUUCUCUCUCCUUCAAAGUCAAACUUGGGAGAAAUGAAGGGAAAUCGAGUUUUCUUUGCUUGACAGUGUUCAACAUUCUUGUAGUCAGUGUGCUCAUGAAGAUUGCAAACUUUUUUUUUUUUUUAGAGCAGCUAGGACUACAGGCGCGCACCACCACACCCAGCUAAUUUGUGUAUUUUUAGUAGAGAUGGGGUUUUAACUAUGUUGGCCAAGCUUGUCUCAAACUCCUGACCUCAAGUGAUCCAUUCGACAGCUCUUUCUUUUUUUUUUUUUUUUUUGAGACAAAGUCUCGCUCUGUCACCCAGGCUGGAGUGCAGUGGUAUGAUCUCAGCUCACUGCAACCUCCGCCUCCUGGGUUCAAGCAAUUCUCAUGCCUUAGCCUCCCGAAU
rnacentral:lncRNA from 10 species